CCGACCGAACCGAACCGAAACGGGCCGAACCGAAAUGGACCGAACCGAACCGAGCAUAGAUAAUUUAUAUAAUUAUAUAAUUUGCAUAAAUCUUAACCGUAAAUUUUUUUGGUCUUUUAAUCUCCACCGUACACAAACAAAACCCUACCUCAUCUCUAACUCUCCUCUGAGCCGUCCUCGGUCUCACUCUCACGGCCUCCCAUUCUCUCACCCUCUCUCAGUCUCUCUCACAGAUCGGCGAUCUUAGCCUCUCACUCUCUCUCUGGCGAUCAGCUUCUCAGCCUCUCACCAGUCACCGCGCCUCCCUCCCCUUCUUUGAAACCCUUCUCUCUCAGAGAUUGCGUAAGAAGUAAGAACUCUCUCUCUCUCUCUCUCUCUCUCUCAUAGAUCCACACCAAUCUCUCUCCUCCCUUGCAUAAUAAAAGAUGAAUUGAAGCCCUAAUGCUUGGACCGAGGAGUUCUACAAUGGGUCUUGUACGGGUGCUGUGUUGGAUGGAUGCUAGUGAAGCUGUUGGAGGCUUGAACUGCUAGUCUUGAACUACUUUUUUUUUAUGCUAUCACUUGCUUUUUUUUGGAUGCUAUCACUUAGCUGGAAUGCAGGUUUUCAAUUGAAAUGGAGAGAAUUGAUAGUGAAAAAUUUGGUAGUGAAAAAUUCCACAACAGGUGUAUAUAUGUAUUGGACCGGUGAAAAUUUGGUAGAGAAUUGAUAGUGAAAAUUUGGUUGUGAUGUA